rnacentral:rRNA from 1 species
GAUGAACGCUAGCGGCAGGCCUAAUACAUGCAAGUCGAACGGUGUCUUCGGACAUAGUGGCGCACGGGUGCGUAACACGUAUGCAACCUACCUUACAUUGGGGGAUAGCCUUUCGAAAGGGAGAUUAAUACCGCAUAAGACAGUAGCUGGGCAUCCAGCAGCUGUUAAAGAUUUAUCGAUGUAAGCUGGGCAUGCGUCCAAUUAGCUAGUUGGUGAGGUAACGGCUCACCAAGGCAAUGAUUGGUAGGGGAACUGAGAGGUCAAUCCCCCACACUGACACUGAGAUACGGGCCAGACUCCUACGGGAGGCAGCAGUAGGGAAUAUUGGGCAAUGGACGCAAGUCUGACCCAGCCAUGCCGCGUGCAGGAUGAAGGCGUUAUGCGUUGUAAACUGCUUUUAUACAGGAAGAAACUACUCUUGCGAGAGGCAUUGACGGUGCUGUAUGAAUAAGCACCGGCUAACUCCGUGCCAGCAGCCGCCGUAA